CACUCCAGGCACUACUUGUCUGACUCUGCUAAUUAAACAGGGUUGGGCCAGGUUAAUACUUGGACAGGAGGCCAUCUGGGAAUACCAGGUGCUGUAGGCU
rnacentral:rRNA from 1 species